AAGUAAGAAGCAAAUAUUGCAAUCAGUUUCGACCUGAUCUUAGAUAAACUCACCUUAUCCUUACUUU
rnacentral:tRNA from 1 species